rnacentral:rRNA from 1 species
ACUUACGUCCAUACCACCCUGAACAUGCCCAAUCUCGUCUAAACUUGGCAGCAAACCAGGGUUGGGCCUAGUCAGUCCUUGGAUGGGAGGCAGCCUGGGAAUACCAGGUGCUGUAAGCC